GAUCAGGCACACCUCUUCUUCAUACCAAUCUCCUGUCAUAAGAUGCGUGGCAAGAUGCUUGGAAAUUCAUUUCAAAGGAAGCCUACAAUCUUGAGAAAUGGGGGUACUCCACCAGUGGUUAAACCAAAACGAAGACCAUCUUUACAAUAUGGUGAUAAGUGCCACCGUUCCUCGCGCAGCAUGUCUGUUAGUCCUACUCCUGAACGUGUUCGUGUCAGGGGCGGUCGCCAGCAUUUAACGCCAUAGCAUCCACUUUUGAGAAGCCUAAAGAUAGGAACCUUUCAACCCCACCUCCAAUUGUGAGAAAAGUGUAUCCAAAAUCAGGGACAGCAAACUUGAAUACUCUUUCUCUUGGUCUUGGAUCUAAGUCUUCAGCCAUAGCUCGGCUUACUUCUAGUUUUGAAAUGCCUUCAGCACGGGGAAAGUUGAUACCUCAGUCGCUUAGAGUGACUUCCAAUACACUCAAAUCAAACCCAAAAAGAAGUGAUAGUGAGGAUUCUAUGAGCAGCAGAUUAGAAUCUCUUACAGAGGAAGAUGCAAAAGAAGGUGAAGCUGACGAUGAUGAAGGACUC